rnacentral:rRNA from 1 species
CCUACGGGUGGCAGCAGUGAGGAAUAUUGGUCAAUGGACGAGAGUCUGAACCAGCCAAGUAGCGUGAAGGAUGACUGCCCUAUGGGUUGUAAACUUCUUUUAUAUGGGAAUAAAACGUUCCACGUGUGGGUUUUUGUAUGUACCUUAUGAAUAAGGAUCGGCUAACUCCGUGCCAGCAGCCGCGGUAAUACGGAGGAUCCGAGCGUUAUCCGGAUUUAUUGGGUUUAAAGGGUGCGUAGGGGGGUGGUUAAGUCAGUGGUAAAAUUUAGGGGCUCAACCCAUUCCUGCCAUUGAAACUGGCACGCUGGAGUGGAGGAGAGGUAGGCGGAAUGCGUGGUGUAGCGGUGAAAUGCAUAGAUAUCACGCAGAACCCCGAUUGCGAAGGCAGCAUACCAGAUUGCGACUGACACUGAAGCACGAAAGCGUGGGGAUCGAACAGGAUUAGAUACCCGAGUAGUC